CGAGUUCCACAUAAACUGCGCCGCCUGAAGUUUCAAACGCUUAGAACUACCGAACCUGGCGUUUCCGUGACAACGGUGACGGCUAAAGGCUCCAGCCUAGCGUCCCGGCCAACAACUUCCUCGCUUCGCUCCGCCAGCUGCGAACGCGAGCUGCUUCGGGAUUUCCUGGUAUCGCGAGACUUCUUGGGCCCUGUUCGGGCGCUGGCGCAGAAAAUGGAGCCCGCGGGAGUGGCCCACAGCUAGAGGCUCCGCUCCUGGCCUCCCCUGCCAGGGGGAGAAGCGGAGAAAUGGGCGGGGCCAUGAAAUAGAAGCGGGUGAACGCAAGGGGAGCUAUCGAGGCGGGGCUACGAGGACUAUUUGCAUAAGCCCCGCCCAUCUAGGGGCGUUCCCCGAAAGAGCGUCCUCAGCGCUAUGAAAGUGCGUGCGCGGCGUUUCUCUUUCUUUUGCAUCCGGGGAGCGUGUGUCUGUGGUGGUUCGCCUUGGCGUUUUGUGCGCCAAAACAAAUAAGAAACCUGCUAUAGGAUUUUUUACUUGGCUAAAAUGCAAAGGACUCAGACGUCUUGGGCUGCCAGAUGGCGCUCAGCUUUUAAAAGCCCUGGGUGGGACGGCCAGGGCCGACUUAGCGCGUUAGGCCGUCGGCGGCCACGUGCUGCCCUGGGCGCUGAGCCCGCGAGCGCGAUGGGCCCCGGGCCUUCGGGGUGAGCUAACACGCUGCCAGGAACGCCGAGGAAGAGUGUCCUUCCGCCUUCCAUCUGCGCCACCUUAGUUGUAUGGUAACGUGUCCUGAUGGCCGCCGUUGGAGCCCGUUGGGUGCGGCGUUACUGGGAAAAUAUCUAAACACUGUUCCAAUGUUUUUAGGAAGCCGAGCUCCGAUGGGUGAUGGAAAUUAAAACAAGACAAGAAUUCUGGGUGACAGGGCCUCCCUGGUGGCGCAGCGGUUGAGCGCUGAGUUGUGAAGCUGCCCGCAGCCUCUGCAGCGCCGGUUCGAUCCCUGGCUGCUCCCCGGCCACCGCAGGAGGGUCCCACAUGGCGCGCAGACCUCUCCUGCCGUCCGCUGCUCCCCUCAGCAGUGUACUUCGGUCCUUCUGCCUGCUCUGCUCUCCGCUCUGGCUCUGGUGAAUUCUCUCACCCUCCCGCGCUUCUGACUGUACCCGGUGCUUGUAUACAUAAAUAAAUAAAUCUUAAAAAAAAAAGAAAUAUUUAAAAAAAAAAAAUUCUGGGUGACGUCUUGAUCAGUAUCCUGCAUACAGUACCUGUGAUUUGUGAUUUUAAAUCUCACCAGGGGAGUGACUGCUGAUGUUAUGAAGACUACUCUGGCUGUAUUUUAAAUGCAAAUGUCUAAAUAAACUGUACUAUUUAAAUAGUGGUUCAUUGUUACAAUUGUAAAAUGGUAUUUGGUGUACCUUCACUCGGUAAAUACAAGGAACAGCAAACAUUACCUUGGAAUUCCAGUAUUGUAAGGGUGUUUUCAGCAUUUGGGGAAUCUAAAACAUGUCAACCCUAGAA